GCUAUUUAUUUGGUGGAAACUCUGAUUCGUAAUCAGUAGGUCCGGGGUUCAAUUCCCCGAGUCGGCACCA
rnacentral:tRNA from 1 species